rnacentral:rRNA from 1 species
AUGAAGAAGAUAGCGGCGGGAGCAUUCGCAGAUCUGCCCUGCAGUGUGUCCGAUGCUUCCGCAUUCUACCGGGCCGAGGAGGGGAGCUCGACGGAGAAGGUGUUUUGGUCUCAGUAUGCUGAGGCCGGACACCCGGUGCCCUUUAGCGACCAGCUGAAGCAGCUGGUCGAGCUCCAUAAGGUGCCCGAACAGGCGAUGAAGGGCCUCAUAGUUCGGCUGUGGCCUGAGGAAGCCAUGCUUGGGAGCUACUUCGGGCUAGUGAGGAAGCUGGUGGACGCCUGUCCGUGGAUUAAAGUCGUCAAGCGCCCCGUCUGUAUCGAAGGUGCCCGUAGGGCCCUUGCCCGUGCUAAAGUACACUGGGGCAAGAUGGACGCUGAGAAGCUUGUGACGGAUGCUCCACCGCCGGGCAGGGAGUAUCGCAAGCCCGAGAUGUAUUAUGAGGGCGUCCUGAAGGGUGCCCGCCUUAUAGCGGGUGAAUGCUCCAAAGAUGUAAUUUUUGAGUAA